UCUCCAAGUCCGACCAGCACCACCGACCCGACCAGAGCGACCAGAAACCUGGUCGUCCGAUUAGUUGUCCACUAAUCGCGAUUAGUCGGUCGACCAGGGCAUUUCUCGACCAGGGCAGCAUGAAGGUUUCUCACUUUCUCCUAACAACUUCAUUUUUUUUGUUUCAGCAGCAGGGAUUCAGCAAGAAGAAUAUGGAGUUUUGGACAAGAAGCUGGAGUUCUGGAGAGCAAAUAUCAAAAGUAUGCAGCAAUGGUGCUUCUGGGGAAAAGAGGGUAUACUUGUUCCAUGUCAAGGCUUAUGUUCUGUCGUGUCUUUACAACUGGUUGCCACUUCCAUAUCAUUUCCCAUAUUGUUUUGCAUCUUUGGUCUUUCCUUGCUUCUGCUGUAAAUACAGUAGACAACCAACUGAAGGAUGCCUGUUGCACACCCAACACAGUUUGGCAACUUCAGGAGAAAACAGGUAGGUUAGUACAAUAAUGCGGUUGUACCAAAUGAAGUCACAUGAUAAUAUGUUUUUAUUUCAUUUUAAGUCCAGAUUGCAUAGGUAGUUCAUUUUGACAGAGCAGUAGGGGAGUGCCCUACUUUUAUUAUGUUUUUUCCUCAUUUGACGAGAUUGCAUAUGAAGUUACCAACCGUAAUAUAGGGAUCCCUGCCUAGGAGUCCAUAUACCAUCCAGAUUAAACUGGUUAAGAAGGAAAACAAUGACAAGUAGAAAGGCAUGAACUCCACACUUCUCGUCCUUACAACUUGUUUCUGCAAUUGCGGGAUUGCAAAAAGGUUAAAUAAUUAGAUAAUGUGUCAAAAAAUGGAAAAAAAUAUCAAGUGCAUAAUUAUAAACUAUUUUCUUCUAGUUUUUUUUCCUUGUCUAUAUUAAUGCAUUUUUAUGUAGUAAUUUAGUAUAUGGGAAGUAUUUAUAGAGUUGUUGCAUAUCUUAUGGAACUUAUUCUAGUUUCAUACAUUUUGUCAAUCUUAGAUCAAUAUGCGUGAUUUUGUGAUGAUGCCUGUAAUUAUUUGUAUCUCAGUCCAUGUUUCUUGAGGUGCUAUAACUAAUAGUACUCACCACAGCAACAAGAGGAGAGCUGUACAUCAGCAUGGCAGACAAUACACCAAUACUUCCAACAAAUACCUUUCGUAUGUGGUGGGUGUGGAUUAUAAAGCAUGAGAUUAAUAUGGUCAUGCCGAAGAUUGCCAGAAACAGAGAUACAAUUAGGAUAACGAGCUUCUGCAAAUUUGUAUAUGCCGAUGAAUGAUAUUUCAAAGAUUACUCCUAUUGAGCUGAUGAGGAAAACUGUCAAGUUCUUCCACCCAGAGCUAACAAUUGGAAAACCAUACCAGCUAUAUGUGAGGCAGCUGAACAGAGUCAGGAUAUACGGUAUGCAUGAGAAUUCGCCUACACUAGCCUCCUUGAUUACUCUUUUAAAUGUCAAUCUGGAAACCAAAGUGAAAACAAUACAACAGUAAGUAGUAUGCCAUGCUGUGUUUAUGAUCAUAUUAGUUAAGGAUGUAAUCAUGUACAUUGGUGCUGAAUAGAGAAGCAUACAGACUGCACAUCCUGCAAAAAAGAGCCAAGGUAGUGUUAGAAGGUUGAAUUAAUUUGCUUUCAAUAUAAGCAGGGAAAACCCUUCCACUGAGAACAAUGAUGAAGUGAGCUUGAUUAGGUAGUUGUAAACAAAAAAAAACCUAUAAUUCCAAGUAUCACACGUAUGCUAGUAACCAUUUUUAUGCUCUGAAGUCUUCACUAGCCUUGCUACAGGAGGCGAGGAGCUAAAAUGAUUCAGAUACAUUGGUUACAAUAAUGCUGGCCUAUUUAUAGAAAGCAAAUAAUUUUUAAAGCAGGAGGCAAAGAUAUUGCUCAAGCCACCAUGGUAGAAUGUUACAUGUGAAUUGCCUACUUUUCUGUUCAUAUGAAAAAAUAUGUGAAUGGAAAGCAGACAAAGUCUUAGUCUUUCAUAUUUUGGCAGGCAUCUACCUAGUAGAUUCCACCUAUAAGCCUUUAAGAAUCAUAAAAGCUUUCAUGUUUGAUUGUGGUGCAUUGGGCGGCUUGGUUUGCCGGAGCAUCUGUUGUAGUUUAUUAUAUAAUAACAUUGAAUGAGAUUGCUUGACCAUGCAGA